ensembl:snRNA U6 U6 spliceosomal RNA
GUGCUCCCUUUGGCAGCACAUAUAUUAAAAUUGGAACAAUAUAGAGAAGGGUAACAUGGCCCCUGUGCAAGGUUGGCAUGAAAAUUUGUGAAAUAUUCCAUAUUUUU